UGUGGGAAAAAAUGGUUCUAACUUUGUGUACGAGAUAACUGGAGGUCCUGGCCCUGAGAAAAAGAGUUUUAUUGCCUUCAAAGAAACUGUAAAAGAACGUUGAGAAAAAUAUGAAACACGAGCUUAGAAAUCGCAAA